rnacentral:snRNA from 1 species
GCUCGCUUCGGCAUGCACAUAUACUAAACUAUUGGAACGAUUACAGAGAAGAUUUAGCAUGGCCCCGCUGCGCCAAGGAUGACAUGCAAAUUCGUGAAGUGUUCCAUAUUUUU